rnacentral:rRNA from 1 species
UCGAACGGUAACAUUUCUAGCUUGCUAGAAGAUGACGAGUGGCGGACGGGUGAGUAAUGCUUGGGAACUUGCCUUUGCGAGGGGGAUAACAGUUGGAAACGACUGCUAAUACCGCAUAAUGUCUACGGACCAAACGGGGCUUCGGCUCCGGCGCAAAGAGAGGCCCAAGUGAGAUUAGCUAGUUGGUAAGGUAACGGCUUACCAAGGCGACGAUCUCUAGCUGUUCUGAGAGGAAGAUCAGCCACACUGGGACUGAGACACGGCCCAGACUCCUACGGGAGGCAGCAGUGGGGAAUAUUGCACAAUGGGGGAAACCCUGAUGCAGCCAUGCCGCGUGUGUGAAGAAGGCCUUCGGGUUGUAAAGCACUUUCAGUUGUGAGGAAAAGUUAGUAGUUAAUACCUGCUAGCCGUGACGUUAACAACAGAAGAAGCACCGGCUAACUCCGUGCCAGCAGCCGCGGUAAUACGGAGGGUGCGAGCGUUAAUCGGAAUUACUGGGCGUAAAGCGCACGCAGGCGGUUUGUUAAGCUAGAUGUGAAAGCCCCGGGCUCAACCUGGGAUGGUCAUUUAGAACUGGCAGACUAGAGUCUUGGAGAGGGGAGUGGAAUUCCAGGUGUAGCGGUGAAAUGCGUAGAUAUCUGGAGGAACAUCAGUGGCGAAGGCGACUCCCUGGCCAAAGACUGACGCUCAUGUGCGAAAGUGUGGGUAGCGAACAGGAUUAGAUACCCUGGUAGUCCACACC